UACGAGGGAGGCUAGCGCUGCUCGGAAUGACUGGGCGUAAAGGGCGCGUAGGCGGUUUGUACAGUCAGGUGUGAAAUUCCCGGGCUCAACCUGGGGCUGCACUUGAUACGUAUGGACUGGAGUGGGGAAGAGGGUCGUGGAAUUCCCAGUGUAGAGGUGAAAUUCGUAGAUAUUGGGAAGAACACCGGUGGCGAAGGCGGCGACCUGGUCCUUGACUGACGCUGAGGCGCGAAAGCGUGGGGGAGCAAACAGG
rnacentral:rRNA from 1 species